rnacentral:rRNA from 1 species
UAGGGAAUCUUCCACAAUGGACGCAAGUCUGAUGGAGCAACGCCGCGUGAGUGAAGAAGGUUUUCGGACCGUAAAGCUCUGUUGUUGGUGAAGAAGGAUAGAGGUAGUAACUGGCCUUUAUUUGACGGUAAUCAACCAGAAAGUCACGGCUAACUACGUGCCAGCAGCCGCGGUAAUACGUAGGUGGCAAGCGUUGUCCGGAUUUAUUGGGCGUAAAGCGAGCGCAGGCGGAAGAAUAAGUCUGAUGUGAAAGCCCUCGGCUUAACCGAGGAAUUGCAUCGGAAACUGUUUUCUUGAGUGCAGAAGAGGAGAGUAGAACUCCAUGUGUAGCGGUGGAAUGCGUAGAUAUAUGGAAGAAUACCAGUAGCGAAGGCGGCUCUCUGGUCUGCAACUGACGCUGAGGCUCGAAAGCAUGGGUAGCGAACAGGAUUAGAUACCCUGGUAGUCCAUGCCGUAAACGAUGAGUGCUAAGUGUUGGGAGGCUUCCGCCUCUCAGUGCUGCAGCUAACGCAUUAAGCACUCCGCCUGGGGGAGUACGACCGCAAGGUUGAAAC